UACGGAGGAUGCAAGCGUUAUCCGGAAUGAUUGGGCGUAAAGCGUCCGCAGGUGGCUAUGUAAGUCUGCUGUUAAAGAGUGAGGCUCAACCUCAUAAGAGCAGUGGAAACUACAUGGCUAGAGUGCGUUCGGGGCAGAGGGAAUUCCUGGUGUAGCGGUGAAAUGCGUAGAUAUCAGGAAGAACACCGGUGGCGAAAGCGCCCUGCUAGGCCGCAACUGACACUGAGGGACGAAAGCUAGGGGAGCGAAUGGG
rnacentral:rRNA from 1 species